rnacentral:rRNA from 1 species
UCGAACCCUGCCUAGCAGAACGACCCGCGAACUCGUUAAAAUCACUGGCGGGGGGAGAGCCCCUCGGGCGCUCCCCCCCCUAUCGCCGCGGGUGCGGGACUCGUCCCGCUCCCCGUGGUGAAACAACGAACCCCCGGCGCGGACUGCGCCAAGGAAAUCUAACGAGAGAGCACGCGCUCGGGGCCCCGGUCACGGUGUGCCCCCGGGAUGCGGCGCCUUCUUUCAAUUUAUCUAUAACGACUCUCGGCAACGGAUAUCUCGGCUCUCGCAUCGAUGAAGAACGUAGCGAAAUGCGAUACUUGGUGUGAAUUGCAGAAUCCCGUGAACCAUCGAGUCUUUGAACGCAAGUUGCGCCCCAAGCCUUUAGGCCGAGGGCACGUCUGCCUGGGUGUCACGCAUCGUUGCCCCACCCCACCCCCUUGGGGACCUGGCGGUGCGGGCGGAAAAUGGCCUCCCGUGUGCUCCCCGCCCGCGGUUGGCCUAAAUCUGAGUCCUCGGCGACCGAAGCCGCGACGAUCGGUGGUGAAAACAAGCCUCUCGAGCUUCACGUCGCGUGCACGCGUCUCCGAACGAGGCCUCGUGGACCCUUACGCUCCGCGCAAGCGGCGCUCGCAUC